GGACACAAACUUCUCUCCAUCUUCAUGGGCGUAGUCACUGAAUGUUGACAAAGUAACUGGGAUCAUAGGUGUGUGGAUGAUGGGUGGCAUUACACUUACUGGGGGAACGUAUGGGAACCAUAAACGUACAACUUUCAAAGAUUGAAAACGACAAAAACUGCUAGAGGGACAUGUGACGACAGAGAAACUUUGGAGGAAACGGGACAAUAUU